UGGGGAAUAUUGCACAAUGGGCGCAAGCCUGAUGCAGCAACGCCGCGUGAGGGAUGACGGCCUUCGGGUUGUAAACCUCUUUUAGUAGGGAAGAAGCGAAAGUGACGGUACCUGCAGAAAAAGCACCGGCUAACUACGUGCCAGCAGCCGCGGUAAUACGUAGGGUGCAAGCGUUGUCCGGAAUUAUUGGGCGUAAAGAGCUCGUAGGCGGCUUGUCGCGUCUGCUGUGAAAUCCCGGGGCUCAACCCCGGGCCUGCAGUGGGUACGGGCAGGCUAGAGUGCGGUAGGGGAGAUUGGAAUUCCUGGUGUAGCGGUGGAAUGCGCAGAUAUCAGGAGGAACACCGAUGGCGAAGGCAGAUCUCUGGGCCGCUACUGACGCUGAGGAGCGAAAGCAUGGGGAGCGAACA
rnacentral:rRNA from 1 species